AGUGAACGCUGGCGGUAGGCCUAACACAUGCAAGUCGAACGGCAGCACAGUAAGAGCUUGCUCUUACGGGUGGCGAGUGGCGGACGGGUGAGGAAUACAUCGGAAUCUACUUUUUCGUGGGGGAUAACGUAGGGAAACUUACGCUAAUACCGCAUACGACCUAUGGGUGAAAGUAGGGGAUCUUCGGACCUUGCGCGAUUGAAUGAGCCGAUGUCGGAUUAGCUAGUUGGCGGGGUAAAGGCCCACCAAGGCGACGAUCCGUAGCUGGUCUGAGAGGAUGAUCAGCCACACUGGAACUGAGACACGGUCCAGACUCCUACGGGAGGCAGCAGUGGGGAAUAUUGGACAAUGGGCGCAAGCCUGAUCCAGCCAUACCGCGUGGGUGAAGAAGGCCUUCGGGUUGUAAAGCCCUUUUGUUGGGAAAGAAAAGCAGCAGGUUAAUACCCCGCUGUUCUGACGGUACCCAAAGAAUAAGCACCGGCUAACUUCGUG
rnacentral:rRNA from 1 species